GACGAACGCUGGCGGCGUGCUUAACACAUGCAAGUCGAACGAUGAAGCCGGAGCUUGCUCUGGUGAAUUAGUGGCGAACGGGUGAGUAACACGUGAGUAACAUGCCCUUGACUCUGGGAUAACUGCGGGAAACUGUAGCUAAUACCGGAUACGACCCUCGGAGGCAUCUCCUGGGGGUGGAAAGAAUUUCGGUCAAGGAUGGACUCGCGGCCUAUCAGCUAGUUGGUGAGGUAAAGGCUCACCAAGGCGACGACGGGUAGCCGGCCUGAGAGGGUGACCGGCCACACUGGGACUGCGACACGGCCCAGACUCCUACGGGAGGCAGCAGUGGGGAAUAUUGCACAAUGGGCGCGAGCCUGAUGCAGCAACGCCGCGUGAGGGAUGACGGCCUUGGGUUGUAAACCUCUUUUAGCAGGGAAGAAGCGAAAGUGACGGUACCUGCAGAAAAAGCACCGGCUAACUACGUGCCAGCCGCCGCCGUAA
rnacentral:rRNA from 1 species